rnacentral:rRNA from 1 species
UACGGGGGGAGCAAGCGUUGUUCGGAUUUACUGGGCGUAAAGGGCGCGUAGGCGGUCAGCACAAGUCAGUUGUGAAAUCUCCGAGCUCAACUCGGAAAUGGCAUUGGAAACUACCUUGCUCGAGGGUUGGAGGGGGGACUGGAAUGCUUGGUGUAGCAGUGAAAUGCGUAGAUAUCAAGCGGAACACCAGUGGCGAAGGCGAGUCCCUGGACAACUCCUGACACUGAGGCACGAAAGCUAGGGGAGCAAACAGG